rnacentral:rRNA from 1 species
GAUGAACGCUGGCGGCGUGCCUAAUACAUGCAAGUCGAGCGAACAGACGAGGAGCUUGCUCCUCUGACGUUAGCGGCGGACGGGUGAGUAACACGUGGAUAACCUACCUAUAAGACUGGGAUAACUUCGGGAAACCGGAGCUAAUACCGGAUAAUAUAUUGAACCGCAUGGUUCAAUAGUGAAAGACGGUUUUGCUGUCACUUAUAGAUGGAUCCGCGCCGCAUUAGCUAGUUGGGAAGGUAACGGCUUACCAAGGCAACGAUGCGUAGCCGACCUGAGAGGGUGGUCGGCCACACUGGAACUGAGACACGGUCCAGACUCCUACGGGAGGCAGCAGUAGGGAAUCUUCCGCAAUGGGCGAAAGCCUGACGGAGCAACGCCGCGUGAGUGAUGAAGGUCUUCGGAUCGUAGAACUCUGUUAUUAGGGAAGAACAAAUGUGUAAGUAACUAUGCACGUCUUGACGGUACCUAAUCAGAAAGCCACGGCUAACUACGUG